AGAUAUGGGUGCGUGUAAACAAUAAAUAUCGAAAAAUUGUAAUUCGCUUCAUAAAUAUUAAUAUAAAUUACAAAAUGUGGCAUUAAAUUAAAAUAAAAAUAUAUUAAAAUGACGUAAAUAGGUGGGAAACGUGGAGUGCAUGGAGAUAAAUGAGUGGAGUCAUUCUGCCAACAUCGUUAACAAUGGAAUGAAGUCUGUGCAAGAUUAAAGAGGAGUUUACACAAGGAAAAUAGCAGAAGAAACAAAUGGACGAUAAAGAAAUAUCAGACUUCGCAGCAUACCAUGUGCUUGCAGAAUAUUUAUAGUUGGAGAAUAAUCUCCUGUGAGGAAAAGUUGCCAAAGUGUAAGCCUUGAUGCGCAUCACUCAUGCAGCAUCAUUCUUUGCACCGGAAUCAAUGUGCCAUUAUCGUUAGCUAUGGAAUGAAGUUUAUACAACAUGAAACAAGGAACAUAUAAAGAAGUAAAGGAACAAAUAUCAGAUAAGUAAUUUAUAUUUAUAUAAAGUAAAGCAUUAAGCAUCUAUAUGCUGCAAAUAAUUGCACAUGUCAAGUUGAUUGUUGCUUUGUAAUCAGUCAAUCAGUCGUUGCACCGCAGAUGACAGAUAUAUUUUUAUAUUUCAUAUAUUAGAUAUAAUUUCAAAUUUUUCUUCACCAGCACAUGGUAGGUUAACUGGGAGACUAAAAUAACAAAAUUAAUUACAAAACAACAAUCAACCCGACAACAUGUGCAAUUAUUUGCAGCAUAUAGAUGCUCAAUACUUUAUAUACUGUAUAUAAAUGUAAGUUAUUUACCUGAUAAUUUGACUGUUCAACACCAAACUGUACAUAAUAAUAGAAGCGCUGCGAUGAGGUCUUAUGUUAACAAGGCCAAAAAAUAUCAAUAAAAACACUAUUUAAUAUCAUGAACAAUUUUUCUAU